GCACGAUUCAGGUACGAGGAGGCAUCAUCCAUUUCAGAUGUGAAGGCAAGGAAAGCUUUAGCAAUGAGGCCACUCUGGUGACGCUCCGCCCUUUCUAUGGCCGGGAUUGGGGUUUCUUGACGGGCUUUGAAGGAAGUUUUGGUUGAAGGAGAUUUCGGGUUAAAGGAGGAGAACGCCCUAUCAUGCUUGAAGGAGUGACCAAAUUUUCUACAGUGAAAGCAUCUCAGUGAGUUUUGACACUCAGAUUUGAAGUAGUCUGAGUCCCCACAAUGAAAGCAGCAUCCCUUUUUAAAAGACAGAG
rnacentral:lncRNA from 1 species